rnacentral:misc_RNA from 1 species
GAUGAAGAACGCAGCGAAAUGCGAUAAGUAAUGUGAAUUGCAGAAUUCAGUGAAUAAUCGAAUCUUUGAACGCACAUUGCGCCCGCUGGUAUUCCGGCGGGCAUGCCUGUUCGAGCGUCAUUUCAACCCUCAAGCUCUCCGGAGUUUGGUGUUGGGGCGCCUGGGGCUUUUCGACCUCAGGGCCCUCAAGUCCAUCGGCGGGACCGCCAGGACACUGAGCGCAGUAGUAUUAUUUCGCUCGGUAGGAUCUUCCACGGCGGGUCGAUCUGGCCGCUAAACCCCCCAAUUCUCACCAAAGGUUGACCUCGGAUCAGGUAGGAAUACCCGCUGAACUUAAGCAUAUCAAUAAGCGGAGGA